rnacentral:rRNA from 1 species
GACGAACGCUGGCGGCGUGCCUAACACAUGCAAGUCGUGCGAGAAAGUUCCUUCGGGAGCGAGUAAAGCGGCGCACGGGUGAGUAACACGUAGGUAACCUGCCCCCCAGUCUGGAACAACUAGAGGAAACUCUAGCUAAUGCCGGAUGAGACCACGAUCCCUUCGGGGGUUGCGGCCAAAGAUGGCCUCUACUUGUAAGCUAUCGCUGAGGGAUGGGCCUGCGGGCCAUUAGCUUGUUGGUGAGGUAACGGCUCACCAAGGCUGUGAUGGCUAGCUGGUCUGAGAGGAUGACCAGCCACACUGGGACUGAGACACGGCCCAGACUCCUACGGGAGGCAGCAGUGGGGAAUAUUGCGCAAUGGGCGAAAGCCUGACGCAGCGACGCCGCGUGGGUGA